GGCCGUUUGGCCCAAUGGUAAGGCGUCUGACUACGACCGAGUAUGUAAACAUACUUGACGAGUUAUCAGGAGAUUCUGGGUUCGAGCCCCAGGAUGGUCA